AUUGAACGCUGGCGGUAGGCCUAACACAUGCAAGUCGAGCGGAUGAAGGGUGCUUGCUCCUGGAUUCAGCGGCGGACGGGUGGGUAAUGCCUAGGAACCUGCCUGGUUGUGGUGGAUAACGUCCUGAAACGGGCGCUAAUACCGCAUACGUCCAGAGGGAGAAAGUGGGGAAGCUUCGGACCUUACGACAUCAGAUGAUCCGAUGUCGGAUUAGCUAGUUGGUGGGGUAAAGGCCUACCAAGGCGACGAUCCGUAGCUGGUCUGAGAGGAUGAUCAGUCACACUGGAACUGAGACACGGUCCAGACUCCUACGGGAGGCAGCAGUGGGGAAUAUUGGACAAAGGGCGAAAGCCUGAUCCAGCCAUGCCGCGUGUGUGAAGAAGGUCUUCGGAUUGUAAAGCCCUUUAGGUUGGGAAGAAGAGCAGUAAGUUAAUACCUUGCUGUUUUGACGUUACCAACAGAAUAAGCACCGGCUAACUUCGUG
rnacentral:rRNA from 1 species